CAGAAAUGUAGCAUUUAAAAUCAUGUCAAAAAAAAUUCAAAAACAUUACACAUUUCUAAAUUAAUCAAACUAUGUAUUUAAUUACUUUAUGUUUAUUUUGUGUUGUGCGUUAUAGUUUUGCUGGUCAUGGCUGUUAUCAAAUUAAAAUCCCCACUAAAUGGAAUAAGAAUUAUGGGCCGGAGGAUGUUGUUGACGAAAUCAAUAGCAAAAGAAAGUCAUGUGGGAGUCCACCUUUGACAUAUUCAAAAACUCUUUCCGAUGAUGCUAAUGCUUACAUACAGCAUCUCAAUGAGUUUGGUAUAGGCGAACAGCUACUGUAUACCUCAGCAGCGGCAAAAAAUUCUCUUAAUGAUCAUAUUGAUUAUCCCCUAUCAGAUCCAAACAAAGAAAAUUUCACAGAAAAUAUAUGUGAAUAUAGUGGUCAGAAACAUUUUUUCGUUGAGUAUUGGUUCGAGGCCGGUCUAAGAGCAUAUAGAUAUCAUCCAGAUGACAGGGUUCCUGAGGUAAGAUCAUUAGCUGAUAAGUAUACGGCAAUGAUGUGGAAAUCAUCUGAAUAUAUUGGUGUGGCACUUGCGGAGAAAAAGAAUAGUAAACCCAAAACUAGAACGAUCGUAGUGGUAAGAUUUUCUCCACCAGGAAAUCAAGAUGGACAAUAUUUAAAAAAUGUGCCCGUAUGUAAUCGUCCUCACGGAAAUUGUUCAAAAUCUAGUACAAUAUAUAUAAACAAAUGUUUUUUGACUGUUGCUAUUUUAAGUCUAUUAUGUCUAUUUAAGUAAGAUAACAAGUACAAGAUUGGAUUUUCUGUCAACAUAUGAUGUGUUCCUGUCCAUAUAUUAGCUUAAUUGUUAAAUAUUGCGCCAAUUAAGAUGUAUGUAUGGGCGACCACAUUCAUAUGAACUCGGAAAACGACGGAUAAAAUGUUUUCAAAAUCUUUGGAAGCGAAACUAAAAUAAUGAAGUGUAAAGUUUACUCAUUUAUGUAAAAAAUUUAUGUAAAAAAUGUUUAAAAUCAAAGUUUAGAAUCCUAUCAUUUAGGAAAUAUAAAAUUUGAAUAGAA